UGCAAAAUGGCUGGAUCAUAUGGUAGGUGCAUAUUUUAUUUUUUUUUAAGCAACUGCCAAACUAUUUUCCAAAGAGAUUGUAACAUUAUACAGUCCCACCAGCAGU
rnacentral:pre_miRNA from 1 species